AAAUGCUUAAAUCAGGGACACUUGAGCC
rnacentral:sRNA from 1 species